rnacentral:rRNA from 1 species
AGAGUUUGAUCCUGGCUCAGAAGGAACGCUGGCAGCGUGCAUAACACAUGCAAGUCGAACGCGGAAGGAUCCUUCGGGAUUUGGAAGAGUGGCGAACGGGUGAGGAACACGUAAGAAUCUACCUUUCGGUUGGGGAUAACUUCUGGAAACGGGAGCUAAUACCCAAUAUGCUGUGGAGUGAAAGAAUUUCGCCGAGAGACGAUCUUGCGUCUGAUUAGCUUGUUGGAGUGGUAAUGGCACCCCAAGGCGACGAUCAGUAGCUGGUCUGAGAGGAUGGACAGCCACAUUGGGACUGAGACACGGCCCAGACUCCUACGGGAGGCAGCAGUGGGGAAUUUUCCGCAAUGGACGAAAGUCUGACGGAGCGACGCUGCGUGAAGGAUGAAGGCCCGUGGGUUGUAAACUUCUUUUCUCGAAGAAGAAAAAAAUGACGGUAUUCGAGGAAUAAGCAUCGGCUAACUCUGUGCCAGCAGCCGCGGUAAGACAGAGGAUGCAAGUGUUAUUCGGAAUGAUUGGGCGUAAAGAGUCUGUAGGCGGUUUAGAAAGUCUUUUGUGAAAUACUUCAGCUCAACUGAGGCUCCGCAAAAGAAACUUCUAGACUUGAGGAAAGUAGAGGUACAGGGAAUUUCCGGUGGAGCGGUGAAAUGCGUAGAUAUCGGAAGGAACACCAAUAUGGCGAAGGCACUGUACUGGGCUUUUCCUGACGCUCAGAGACGAAAGCUGAAGGAGUGAUUAGGAUUAGAUACCCUAGUAAUUUCAGCCGUAAACGAUGAAAACUCACUGUCGAGCCAAUAUAUGGAGCGGUGGUCAAGCUAACGCGUGAAGUUUUCCGCCUGGGGAUUACGCUUGCAAAAGUGAAACUCAAAGGAAUUGACGGGGACCCGCACAAGCGGUGGAGUAUGUGGUUUAAUUCGAC